rnacentral:tRNA from 1 species
GCGCUUGUAGCUCAAUUGGAUAGAGCGUUUGACUACGGAUCAAAAGGUUAGGGGUUCGACUCCCUUCAAGCGUACCA